UGCGAGUCAUAUGUUCUUCGUGAACAUGGCGUACUGCUCAGUAACACGUGGAUAACCUGCCCUUGGGUCUGGGAUAACCCCGGGAAACUGGGGAUAAUACCGGAUAACGCAUAUAUGCUGGAAUGCUUUAUGCGUAAAAUGGAUUCGUCUGCCCAAGGAUGGGUCUGCGGCCUAUCAGGUAGUAGUGGGUGUAAUGUACCUACUAGCCUACAACGGGUACGGGUUGUGAGAGCAAGAGCCCGGAGAUGGAUUCUGAGACAUGAAUCCAGGCCCUAUGGGGCGCAGCAGGCGCGAAAACUUUACAAUGCGGGAAACCGUGAUAAGGGGACACCGAGUGCCAGCAUCAUAUGUUGGUUGUCCAGAUGUGUAAAAUACAUCUGUUAGCAAGGGCCGGGCAAGACCGGUGCCAGCCGCCGCGGUAACACCGGCGGCCCGAGUGGUGAUCGUGAUUAUUGGGUCUAAAGGGUCCGUAGCCGGUUUGGUCAGUCCUCCGGGAAAUCUGACGGCUCAACCGUUAGGCUUUCGGUGGAUACUGCCAGACUUGGAACCGGGAGAGGUAAGAGGUACUACAGGGGUAGGAGUGAAAUCUUGUAAUCCCUGUGAGACCACCUGUGGCGAA
rnacentral:rRNA from 1 species